CAGAGUUAACCCAACUCACCAAAACCAUGUGAACUUACCUAUGUUGCCUCGGCGGGGAAGCCUAGGCCUACCCGUCGGUGGACUAUUCGAACUCUUGAUUUUAUUUUGGCACUUCUGAAUUAUCAUAAAUUGGUUA
rnacentral:misc_RNA from 1 species